GGGGUAGAGGCGCGGUAUUUAAUAGUUUUUCAUGGAGUUUGAGCAACAGUGAAAUGGAAAAGAAGGAAAUAUCGCCGAAGUGUAUCGGGAGGCUCUUAUCCGAUAUGCUGGGUCUGUAGUGAAUAACUGCAGGACUGUCUUGAGUAUUU
rnacentral:ncRNA from 1 species